UACGGGAGGCAGCAGUGAGGAAUAUUGGUCAAUGGGCGAGAGCCUGAACCAGCCAAGUAGCGUGAAGGAUGACUGCCCUAUGGGUUGUAAACUUCUUUUAUAAAGGAAUAAAGUCGGGUAUGGAUACCCGUUUGCAUGUACUUUAUGAAUAAGGAUCGGCUAACUCCGUGCCAGCAGCCGCGGUAAUACGGAGGAUCCGAGCGUUAUCCGGAUUUAUUGGGUUUAAAGGGAGCGUAGAUGGAUGUUUAAGUCAGUUGUGAAAGUUUGCGGCUCAACCGUAAAAUUGCAGUUGAUACUGGAUAUCUUGAGUGCAGUUGAGGCAGGCGGAAUUCGUGGUGUAGCGGUGAAAUGCUUAGAUAUCACGAAGAACUCCGAUUGCGAAGGCAGCCUGCUAAGCUGCAACUGACAUUGAGGCUCGAAAGUGUGGGUAUCAAACAGGAUUAGAUACCCUGG
rnacentral:rRNA from 1 species